rnacentral:misc_RNA from 1 species
GUGAAGAACGCAGCGAAAUGCGAUAAGUAGUGUGAAUUGCAGAAUUCAGUGAAUCAUCGAAUCUUUGAACGCACAUUGCGGCCAUAGGUAUUCCUUUGGCCAUGCCUGUUCGAGCGUCAUUUACACCCUCAAGCCUAGCUUGGUGUUGGGCGCCUGUCCCGCCGUUUUCGCGCGCGGACUCGCCUCAAAGUCAUUGGCGGCGGUCGUGCCGGCCCCCUCGCGCAGCACAUUUGCGCUUCUCGGAGGCCCGGCGGAUCCGCGCUCCAGCAAGACCUUUCACGACUUGACCUCGGAUCAGGUAGGGAUACCCGCUGAACUUAAGCAUAUCAAUAAGCGGAGGA